UACGUAGGGGGCGAGCGUUGUCCGAAGUUACUGGGCGUAAAGCGCUUGUAGGCGGUCCACCAAGUUUGGGGUGACAGUUGCCGACUUAAUCGGCAAAGUGCCUCAAAGACUGGCGGACUUGAGGGCCACAGAGGGACAUGGAACUCCAGGUGUAGUGGUGAAAUGCGUAGAUAUCUGGAAGAACACCAAAGGCGAAGGCAGUGUCCUGGGUGGUCGCUGACGCUGAGAGGCGAAAGCCAGGGGAGCGAACGGG
rnacentral:rRNA from 1 species